ACGAACGCUGGCGGCGUGCCUAAUACAUGCAAGUCGAACGGUCUUUCUAUGGAAGCUUGCUUCCACUGAGAAGAUAGUGGCGGACGGGUGAGUAACACGUGGGUAACCUGCCCAUAAGAGGGGGAUAACAUCCGGAAACGGGUGCUAAUACCGCAUAGUUUUCUUGAUCGCAUGAUUGAGAAAGGAAAGACGGCCUUUGUGCUGUCGCUUAUGGAUGGACCCGCGGCGUAUUAGUUAGUUGGUGAGGUAACGGCUCACCAAGACGAUGAUACGUAGCCGACCUGAGAGGGUGAUCGGCCACAUUGGGACUGAGACACGGCCCAAGCUCCUACGGGAGGCAGCAGUAGGGAAUCUUCCGCAAUGGACGAAAGUCUGACGGAGCAACGCCGCGUGAGUGAAAGAAGGUUUUCGGAUCGUAAAACUCUGUUGUCAGAGAAGAACAAGUCGGAGAGUAACUGCUCCGGCCUUGACGGUAUCUGACCAGAAAGCCACGGCUAACUACGUGCCAGCCGCCGC
rnacentral:rRNA from 1 species